ACAGGCCGAAGCAUAGUGGAGAAUGACCAAUGAAACAGUAAAGGCUGCUAUUUCACGGGGAAAAAGAAAAGUAUCUUUGUUGUUUUCACAACUUGUGAUGGAUAGAUGACGAUGCAUGUCGUUCGCUAAAAGUCCACUGGCCACCAGUAGUUUUUCUUAGAAAGUGGGUGGCUCUUCGUCAACUUAUUAAUCUGUUUUUGUUUAAAGAAUAUUUCAGAAUAAUAAAUGAUUUCACGAGUCGAUUUGGACUCGUGUUGUCUUAAGUUUUAUAUAUUUGUUUGUUUGUUUUCUAUUGUUUAAUAAGUCUUCAGUUUUAGUUUUUUCUGCUCUUGUAGCACGAUUUUUAGUCUUACUUAAGCAUGUAAUCUUAAUUUUACAAGUGAUUUUAGAUAUGGUUUUGUUGUUGUCCUUUA